AAUUGAUGACGCUCAAGUCCGCUGCCGAUACUCGACCACCGAAGCAAAAAUGAUGCUUCGGUGAGUAAGAGGGCGUGGGCACGGUACAGAAGCCUCUAUCGUGAGAUUCGGUGGAACCGUGUCUAGUGUAGAUCUUGGUGGUAGUAGCAACUAUUCAAAUGAGAACUUUGAAGACCGAAGUGGAGAAGGGUUCCAUGAGAACUGCAUUUGGUCAUGGGUUACUCGAUCCUAAGGCAAAGGACAACUCCCGGGUCAAAAGGGAAUGAGGUUAAUAUUCCUCAAGCUGGACGGGGAUAAGAGGUAACAUAAGCGAGCCUGGUGACAUCGGUGGGAACCCCCGGAAGAGUUUUCUUUUCUUUUUAACUGUCCGCUGCCUUGAAAUGGGAUUAUCCCGAGCUAAGGCUGAAGGCAGGAAGAGCAUUUCAUAUGAAGUGUCAGGUGCGUUCUCAACGAUCCGUGAAAAGCCAGGUAAGAGAUUUAUUACCCGCCAGAUCGUACCAAUAACCGCAACAGGUCUCCAAGGUGAAUAGCCUCUGGUCAAUA
rnacentral:rRNA from 1 species